GAUUAUGAGGUUUCUCCUUUUUCAAGUGAAAAAUCGUACGCUACUUUAGAUAGCGAGUUUCCAUUUGGAAAAUGGGUCCAUGUUGGCUGUCAGGUCUCAAGUGAACUUUUACGGCUUCACAUUGACGGGGAAGUGGUGGAUGAGAAGCCCCUGAGUGCCUCAAAAGAUGGAGAAUCUCGCCCUUUAAGGAAAAUAAGUUUGGUUAGUACCAGUGGAACUGAUGAUGGUAUAGAAGGUUAUUUAUACAGUUCAAAGGUCUUGCACCCUUCUUCAUCCAUUGAGGAUCAUUAUAAGGACUCACCAGUACACUUAGC